GCCUGGAUGGCUCAGUAGGUUAGGCGUCUGACUUCAGCUCAGAUCAUGAUCUCAUGGUUUGUGGGUUUGAGCCCCACGUCGGACU
rnacentral:tRNA from 1 species